CACGGGGGAGAGCAAGCGUUGUUCGGAAUCACUGGGCGUAAAGGGGCGCGUGAGGACGGCCCUUCGUAAGUCGAAACCGGUGAAAUCCCCGGGCUCCGAACCCGGGAACUGGCGUCCGAUACUGGAAAGGCUUGAAUCCGGGAGAGGGAUGCGGAAAGUUCCAGGUGUAGCGGUGAAAUGCGUAGAUAUCUGGAGGAACACCGGUGGCGAAGGCGGCAAUCCGUGGA
rnacentral:rRNA from 1 species